UGUCGUGAGAUGUUGGGUUAAGUCCCGCAACGAGCGCAAACCCUCGACUUUAGUUACCAUCAUUAAGUUGGGUACUUUAAAGUAACCGCCGGUGAUAAGCCGGAGGAAGGUGGGGAUGACGUCAAGUCCUCAUGGCCCUUACGCGCUGGGCUACACACGUGCUACAAUGGCAAGUACAGUGGGCAGCAAUCCCGCGAGGGUGAGCUAAUCUCCAAAACUUGUCUCAGUUCGGAUUGUUCUCUGCAACUCGAGAGCAUGAAGGCGGAAUCGCUAGUAAUCGCGGAUCAGCAUGCCGCGGUGAAUACGUUCCCAGGCCUU
rnacentral:rRNA from 1 species